GACGAACGCUGGCGGCGUGCUUAACACAUGCAAGUCGAACGCUGAAGCUCAGCUUUUGUUGGGUGGAUGAGUGGCGAACGGGUGAGUAACACGUGAGUAACCUGCCCCCUUCUUUGGGAUAACGCCCGGAAACGGGUGCUAAUACUGGAUAUUCACUGGUCUUCGCAUGGGGGUUGGUGGAAAGGGUUUUUCUGGUGGGGGAUGGGCUCGCGGCCUAUCAGCUUGUUGGUGGGGUGAUUGCCUACCAAGGCUUUGACGGGUAGCCGGCCUGAGAGGGUGACCGGUCACAUUGGGACUGAGAUACGGCCCAGACUCCUACGGGAGGCAGCAGUGGGGAAUAUUGCACAAUGGGCGCAAGCCUGAUGCAGCGACGCCGCGUGAGGGAUGGAGGCCUUCGGGUUGUGAACCUCUUUCGCUCAUGGUCAAGCCGCAACAAUGGUUGUGGUGAGGGUAGUGGGUAAAGAAGCGCCGGCUAACUACGUG
rnacentral:rRNA from 1 species